AUUGAACGCUGGCGGCAGGCUUAACACAUGCAAGUCGAGCGAGCGGCGGACGUGUGAGUAAUGUAUGGGAAACUGCCUGAUGGAGGGGGAUACCUACUGGAAACGGUAGCUAAUACCGCAUACCAUCCGGUGGGCCCAGAUGGGAUUAGCUAGUAGGUGGGGUAAUGGCUCACCUAGGCGACGAUCCCUAGCUGGUCUGAGAGGAUGACCAGCCACACUGGAACGGAGACCCGGUCCAGACUCCUCAGGGAGGCAGCGGUGGGGAACAUUGCACAAGGGGCGCAAGCCUGAUGCACCCAUGAGGCGAAUGUGAAGAAGGGCUUCGAGUUGUAAAGCACUUUCAGCGAGGAGGCGUUACUAUAAGAAGAAGCACCGGCUAACUCCGUGCCAGCAGCCGCGGUAAUUC
rnacentral:rRNA from 1 species